CCCCACGGUGAGCCACAGCCACCCCCCGCCUCUGCAGAAGACCCUCCAACACUAGCAGAGCCUGCUCACUGCCAAGUGGACUGAUAAAACGGAGGUCUGCAUACACAAGACCGAGAGCCAGUGCUGCCUCUCAGACCACCUUCACCAACACCCUAUGGAGGGCUCACCUAAGGAACUUGUCACUUAUUGUGCUCAAAUCCAUGCCUUGAGUGCCCUCCUACUGAAAUGUGUUCCUCCAGUGAGGCCUCUGGACUCUUCUGCCUCAUUAUAAGCUGACCUGCAGUUUUUUCCUUACCUUCACCCAGUCUGAUCUGCUCUCUACCCUCCAAACCCAGUGUGUACUUGAACUCGUCUGCUGUUAGUAGAAGUUCCAAGCAGCUACUCCGAGCCGAGCCAGGGUCACAUCUAUAUUCUUGCUCCUGAAAUAGCUGAAUUCAUCACCUCUUCAGAGGAGGAAGUCUCCACAGAUGGCUUUGAAGCUCCCUCUCCUGCCCUCCUGCCAGGUGUGAACAAACACUUCGAAGUAAUUUGGGGAUGACUGGGAGAAAAUGUCAAAGGCUUUGAUCCAUGUUUCUUGAAAUAUUGGAGAGUUUUCUGUUCUUGUUGGUCCUGAACAACUAGGCUGGAAAUUUCAUGAGCAAAGGUUUGUUUCUCCCCUCAUCUGGUCACACAUGUUGAUUGUGGAGGACCUAUUCUGGCCACCCACAAGCAAGAUGCCGGUACCUGACUUUGAUGAAAUGAAGGUGGCCACGGUGAAGAAAGAGGUACUCAAGCCUGCACUGCUGCUGCAAGUGGAAGGGACUUCCUGGCUCCAGAGGAAAGCCCAGAAUAGAAAGGCAGCAGGCACAAAGGGUCCUAAGGACUGUAUUUGGAGUGGUCAAGAGUUCGGGCUCCGGGACUAGAUAUGCCUAGGUUCCAGUCCUAGUUCUACCACCUACUGAUCCUCUUACCCUGGGCAAAUUAUGUAACAUCUCCAUGCGUCAGUCCUCAUGUACCAAAAAUCAAUGAGCUAAUCCAUGAGGGUUUAUUACUCUCCAUAAUAAACCCAUCCAGUUGCAUUCUCCACCCCUUUCUUCAUCCCUGCUCUGUGCCCUAGAGACUGACCUCUAAGACUGUAUCACCAAGUGUCCUUUGCCCUCUGGCUUCUGGUUGGAUUCAGCCAAAGAGGAGACACUAGUAGAAGAAUAGCUACUCAGAGGAAUAAGAACCCAUGGUAUUUAUCUCCCUGGCUUUCACAAUGGUGGGCCACCAUUUCAAGAGAGGCUGUAUACCUCUACCUCCAUCCCCAGCUCCUGUCAGGCAGCCCCGUCCUGUAGCUAAGCUCUCUAAAGGUCCCAUUAACUCUGCUUUCUCACCUUAGACCUUCACACCUAGAGAUGCUCAUGGCCUCAGCAUCCCUUGUUGGGCAUCCUAACCCUAUGCAUGCUUCUGUAUAUAGUCCUUUUGCUAGAUUCUCCCUGUUUUACCACUUGAGUGUCCCAUUUAUCUCCUUUCAGGACCAUGACUAAUGUGCCUGACAUAUAAUAACUGUUCAAUAAAUGUUUCGUGUUUCUCCUCCUCCCCCUCCCCCACCCCUUCAUUAUCCUCACCAUCCUCUUUAUUAUCUCAGUAUAAAGCAGAAGAGCUACAGGGAAAUUGUAUUGGUGGUCUACUGUUGUGUAACAAGUUAUCACAAAGUCAGCAGCUUACAACAACACACGGUCGUUAUUUCACAGUCUCUGUGGGUCAGGAGUCCAGGGCUGGCUUAGCUGGGUUCUCUGCUUUAGGGUCUCACUAGGCUGAAAUCUGGGUGUUGGUGGGGGCUACAGUCCAUCAAAAGCUUGACUGGGGCAAGAUCCACUUCCAAGCUCCCUCGGGUUGUUGGUAGAAUUUAUCUCUUUGCAGCUCUAGGACUGAGGCCCCUGUUUCCUUGAUGGCUACUAUCAGCUCCUAGAGGCCACCUUCAGUUCUUUGCAGUGAGAUCCUCUCCAGUGGCCCUCUCACCACAUGGCAGCUUACUUCUUCAAAGCCAGCAAUAGAGAGAAAGUUUCUUGACUUCAGGGAGGGCCCUGGUCCUCUUUAAAGGGCUUCUACCUGAUUGAAUCAGACACACCCAGGAUAAUCUCCCUUUGUAUUAAUUCAAAAAUCAACUGACUUUGGACCUUAAUUACAUUAAGAAUCCCUCCACUUUGCCAUAUAAUGUAAACUAAUCAAGGGAGUGACAUCCCAUGACCUUUGCAAGUCACAGGCUCUCCCUGUGGUUCAAGCACAGGGGAUUACACAAAGGUGGGGACACAGGAGACUGGACAUCAUUGCAGGUCACCUUACAAUGACACAGAGAUCUCAUCAGGAGGUAGAACAAUAUUCAUUCACCAGCUACUUUUAUACAGUUUUUCACUAAGGUUAGGAGAGGUGCAGGGGGAGACAGGUCUUGCCAGUGGGGAAGGACAGAAGCUAACACUAGUGGAACACUUAGUUCCAUUAGCGCUCUCCACUGACUACCUCUGGUCCUCUACCAUCCCUAUAGUUGUCUACUAUUCUUCCACCUUUCAAAUGAGAAAGCUGGAAACAAAGAGUUUGAAGCAAUUCACCCUAAGUCACACUGAUACCACCUCCUCAAUGGUUCCCAAGGCUUUAGACAAGAAGGAACAAAAGUUAUGGAGGUCAAUGUUUGGGAGCUAAAAGGGGCCCUCUAUGUACAUUCUUCUUUUUCAUAGAGUCGGUAUAUAUGAUUUCAGGGAAAGGAGACUCAGUCUUUUUUUUUCUUCCCCAGAGAAGACUUUGCUAACCCCAAUAGCAUAACCACUUAGCACAAGAGUCAUGUAUCCAGAAAAAACAUUUAAAAUUCUCAGGUGGGUGAAAGAGCCACCAUCCUGUGUAUUUGUCAAUGAACACUUCACUUCCGUUCAGGAUACAUAUGAAAAAAAAUCACAAUUUAUUGGGUUUUGGCUAACCCUAUACUAUGCAUUAGUGUUUUUUAACUUUUAAAAGCAUAUCCACAUGUAUUCCAAAGCUCUGUGCUUUCCCUUUUUAAAAAGGACCAACUUUAGAAAUUUCUCAAGAGCAUGAAUAUUUAGCUUCAGAAGCUUUGGGAAUGGGAUGGAUUCUUCAAGGAAAAAAAAUAACACUUUCCACCAAUGCCAGGAACUCAUGAGAGGUUCUUGGAUCAGCAAGUUUAGUACAUCAGUUGGCAAAGUCUUUACUGGCCACUUUAGCCAGUAUCUAAUCUAGUAUGAAGCCUGCUGUGUAGAAGGCAUUUGAUAAAAAUAUGAUGAGUGACUGAAUUAGUGAAUGUAUUUUUUGGUCCUAGUUACAUACUCUUUUUCAGUUUCUUCAUCUUUUCCUUGUUACUUCAUGAAUGUGUUUCCUCAUUUUUCCCUUAUUUCUUUUAAUUUUAAAAGAUUCUAUAGGCUUGUAAAACAAAGAAAUGGCAGAAAGGUAUAAAAUAAAAUUUUAAAAAUCCAUCCUUUCCUUUACUUUGUUCUCUUUAGAGGUAACCACUGUGGACUAUGUGAUGUGUAUUUUUAUUACAAAAGUGAGAGUAUAUGAUAUAUUUAUUUGCUCCUUGAUUUGCCUCAUUCUUUUUAAUGGCCUCUUUGCAUUUGUUAGCAUAUGUAGCAGACACUGUCCAUGAUCCACUCAUAUCCCUUUGGAAACCCUUAUCAUUUCCACACAUUACAGCCUGACUGCCAAUGGGCAGUACCUCCUCCUUUGUUGGGUAGCUCCCUCCAGCCACUGAAACCAAUUUGCCAAUGGAUGGUUGAGUGGAAGUACUUGAGAAUUAAUGUCCCUCUGGGAGACAGCUUCAACAAUGACUAAAAGGUGUAGGAGUAUAAAUACCCCAGCUCCCUGGCCCAUUGGCUAGGAUAAUUCCAAGUCACGUGCUUUGCACUACCUUCAGAGUUUUCCUGAAAGAUUAAACUUUAGUCACUCACUGGCUUAAUAACACACCCUUUACUGGCCAUCUGUCCUUCCCUGCAUCACUUCCCCAGUUCCCUACUUACACUCCCCAAACAUCUUGCACUUGAAUCCUAGGCACAAGAUCUGCUUCCAGAAGAACAUAAACUAAUGUUUAUUUAAUCAUUUUCUUAAUGAUUUAUUUAAUGCUCCCGUUUAUUUAAUCAUUUUCUUAUUAAUGCCAUUUAUUGCUUCUGAUUUUUCAAUAAAAAUAAUACUUCAAUAAAAUCUUUAUCCACUUGGCUUAAGCAUAUGCACAUAUUCCUGAAUUACAAUUGCUAAGUCAAUGGGAAAACUGCAUUUGGUAUUUAAGAGACGAUGCCAAACUGGCCCCCAAAUGGUUUAUUAAUAACAUCCUUACUGGGACUUCCCUGGUGGUCCAGUGGGUAAGCCUCCAUGCCCCCAAUGCAGUGGGCCAGGGUUUGAUCCCUGGACGGGGAACUAGAUCCUACUUGCAUGCCGCAACUAAGAAGUCCGCACGACACAACUACGAGCCUGUGUGCCACAACUAAAAAAGAUCCUGCAGUGCUGCAACUAAGACCUGGCGCAGCCUAAAUAAAUAAAUAUUUAAAAUAACAUCCUUACCAACAGUUUGUUGGAGUUUACUUGGCCUCACCUCUUGCCAGCACUGGAUAUUAUGGGUAUUUUCAUUUGUUCUGUUCAUUUAGACAAAAAUAGAUGUACCAUAUUUUGAACUAAAUUUCUUAUAUUAAUUAGAAUAAACAUUGCAGCAUUUCAGGGACUUACCAGUUGCUGGGAAGGGAACACACAAAACACACACACACCCAAUGUAGAAAAAAAAGUAAAGUCUGGACUUAAUUGGCCAGUGAUACACAAUCUUAUCAGCAGUGGGGUGGCCACAUGGAGCAAAGGUGGAUGUCUCAGUGCAUCUUUCCCUGGCCCCAGGCCUCGGGGUGGGGCACACCACACCUACAAGGGGAGUCAAGCCAGAUGUAGAAAAAUUCAAGUCUGACUAUGCCUUAAACUUUCCAUACUCAGAGUUUUUGUCCCCUUAUACACACAAGCCAUAUUUCUGUCUAAGGAAAGGUUUAUCCAACUUGAACUCUCCUGGUUGUUGAAACAAAUUUAAGGCUGGCUUUCCCUGAAUAAUAGCUCUGCCUAUACCUUUUCAGUUUUCUGGAAAGCCCAUUUCCCUGAAGACCAUCCCUUGCCUAUGAUUUAAUACUCUUGCCUAGAUGGUUCUGAAACUUAUGUGAUUGGCCAGUUCAUGUCCUUUGUCCAUUUUCCUAUUGAAUUAUUUUUAUUUUUUGUAUUUAUUUGUUGAAAAGUUUUAUAUAUUGUGGAUAUUAACCUUUUGCUUGUAAUAUAUGUUGCAAGUAUUUCCUCUUGCUCUGUUGCUUCUUAUUUGCCUUGGUUUACAGUGGUUUUUAAUUUUUAUUCAAUCACAUCUGUACAUCUUUUCUCCUAUGAUUUUGGAUUCUGUGUCUUGCUUAGGAAGGUCAUUCAUUCUACCCAAAUAUCAUAAAAAUAUUCACCUAUCUGUUCUUCUAGGACCUUUAUCAACUUGUUUUUUUCUUUACAUUUAGAUCUUUAAUCCAUCUAGAAUUUAUUUUUGUGGAUGAAAUGAAGGAGAAAUCUAACUAGACAAUUUUAUCAUUUUUCUACUACUAUAAGUGAGAUAUUUUUCCCAUUGCAUUUUCUGAGUGUUAUUGCUAGUAUAUGCACAUGUGCUUGCUCUGAAGAUUCAAUUCCAUCAUCUCCCACUGUCUCAUCUCAGUAGGGACUAGAUCUUUGUGUUAAAGGAAGAUCCUCUCAGACUGGUCAGCAUGCCUGCUAUGUAGCUAUUAAGCUAUCUCGCUUGGCCUUUGUUUCCUCAUCUGUUAAAAUGGGGAACUCGGACCAAAUGCUCCUUGUAGUCCUUUCCUGCAUUAAUAAUACUAAGGCUUUAAAUAAUUUUUUUCUUUCUGGUCAAAAUGCAGUUCAAUUUCAAAGGGGAGAAAACAGUCCUGUAGUUCUAGUUGCUAAAGGGCGUUGAACCUCUUUACAUUUGAAACUGAUACCAAAGGUGGUAAAACUUAGCAUUCUCUUGCUCUUGGGUUCAAUGUCUUGGCUAUUUUUAGCUAGAUCUGGCACCUUUGGGAAUAGGACACUUGAAAUACAGAGCUAAGAGCAAGGUAAGGCAGCCACUCAGCAUUUAUCUGUUUUCCGUGAAAUAAUAUGCUUCUUUCCAAAGAAAGGGCAAGGGGGUGCAGCAGUGGUCUCCUGCUUUUAGGAUACUCUUUUUCUAAUGACCUGGCAUUAUAUAGUUUGCCAAACCUGCCCUGGAGGCUGUCUACCCAUGACCAAGGGAUUCAUAGGAUGUGAGCCCAUAUACCUGGUGCUAUCUCCCAAAUGGUUUCAACUGUAAAUUCAAGGAGAAGUUUGAUGUUUAGCUACUCAAGAGAAGCACAAGUAUUCACUAAGUGCCGGAUAACCUACAAUUCCUACCAAACCUCUGGGUCAGCCUGGAUUUGUGUUAUAUUGCUGUCAUUUAAUUUAAAAUAUUUCAGCAUAGUUAACAUGACAAAUGUGCCACCUCCACUGUUGGAGCAGUUAUUAACAUUUGGAGUCCCCAGAAAGAGAUGUACUCUUCAGAGAUGAAUAGCAUCUGAAAAAAGACCCUAAGCAGAACUCGAAGCAAAAAACACUCUAACAAGAGAGGGAUACCACAACAACUUCAACUACCUCUAUCUAUAAUAACACCGGAGGGCUUGUUAGUUAGCAUAGUAUAUGUUAGAUAUUAGUUUUCACUGGUAAAAUGAGUUGUGUUCAAGAUAGGUGCAUUGGCUAAAAAUAUAGUAUAGGUAUUUUAUGUUGCCCAAACAGUUCAAUAACUGAUGUCCUUCAGGAUGGCCUAAGCCAAGGAUUCAAUCUGAUCCAGUGAAAGCCACCUAACAAAUGAUUCUAUUACCUAAUCCCAACUAGAAGGUUAGUUUAAUCCUGCCAGGUUCUAGUGGCAGAUCUAACAGUUACUGUAGCUUUGAAGCAGUGAUGAGCAUAACAAAGAUUUUAAGAUAACAGGAACAACAGCAAAGUGAUAAGAAAAUAUUUGUGAUUUUUAUUGGUAAAAAAGUCAUAAGUUCUGCUAAGACUAUUGCAGUUUAUUGCCUACAUCAUUAUUGAAGGAAAUGUUGUAGUUCAUUUAGAAAUUAGUAAAAUUUUUUUUUAAAUGUUUUUCAUUCAAGUACAUGGAGUCUCUGAAUUCUACUCACUGACCUCUUAGGGGGCAUAGACUCAGGGUAAGAACUCCAGUGCCUAGUGUACUGCAUAUUUGAUACUAGAGAAGCCCCUCAAAAAAGCCUUAUUGCUAAUGGUGUCCAUCAGGGGAUGCCAAUGUCCUCGCCAAGGGGGUCUCUCCUGGAGAUGCCAGAGCAGCCUGUAUGGCUGGGCCCCUAGUAGAAUCUCCCCAAAUCUGUGUUGCUUGUGCCCAGGGUACCAAUAAAACCCUUGCAAGAGCAGGCCCAUCAUCUACGGUGAGCUAUGCAAAAACAUAAGCAAGCUUCAAUGGGGCAUCAGCCUGGCAUAGGCCAAAUUCUCUCUCAGCAAAUCCAGUUUUUCCUAAGAAAGCAUAGCGGAGACCUGUAUCAGACUCCAACAACAAAUACACUCAUUCACUUUACCACCCAGAGAACUUUUCUCUUCCAGCCACUGUAUUCCCACAUUUGCAUAAUUAAAUGGGCCAUUACAUUGGUUUUCCCAGAACCAAGUAACCAUCUGCCCUAAAGCUGUAUCCAAGUCUUGCAUCUUGCAAAACCCAAGGCUCAUUUACGGACUCUUUAAAAUCUGGGUUUACUGUGAUUUUCCGUAUGUGUCUUCUAUUCUCUUCACGAAGAUUUCAAAGGUCUUUAGGACAAAACUCAGUCCCAGUUCAUGCAUCCUGUGCUCCCUUCUCCCUGUACAGUCUCUGAAGCACAUGGCCCAGCCCUGCAACCAUGACACUGAGAUCUCCUUCCCCAUCUGUGUCACUGACCACCAUUGCUCCCACACCACCCAGUGCCCAGAGGCUGGUUUUGUUAGGGAAACCACUGACUGAAACUGCCCACCCUGGCCAGGCAACACAGUAACCACUUGCAUGAGUUCUCUUACAACAGGAGGUCCUGGUAAGGAAUGCAGAACUAACAAGCUACCACCAACCAGAAGAAUUCUGGAAAGGUCAAAAGGAGAGAGGAGACACCAGUCCAUAUGUCCUACCACCCUCCCAGAAUCCUUCGCUCUGGAAUCCAUCUUGCCUGAGUGAUGCACGUGCCACCAGGAAGGACCCUGAGUCAGAAAGAUUGGCCAGAGACAACCCAGAAACUAACCCCAUUACUGUAAAAGCUGAGACUGCAAGCCACGUGGCAGAGCAGUUCUCCUGGGUUCCCUUACCCUCCUGCUCUCCAUCCAGGCAUCCCUUCCCAAUAAAGCUCUUGCUCUGUGAGCAUGUGUGUCUCCUCGGACAAUUCACUUCCAGAUGUUAGACAAGAGCCCAUUCUUGGGCCCUGGAAGGGAUCCCCCUUCCUGCAACAGUUUUACAGCAAGAGUCACUGACCAACAUCACACUGCCGUUCAUGGGGCAUGACCUGUGAAGAAAGGCAGAAGAAUGGCUUUCUCCACUUCCAGCUCCUUGUUCUCUCUUGUUCCCAGGCCAGGAGGCAGUUUAGUACCCUGAGUGACUUAGUCAUCAGGAGACAAAGCACAGAAUCAAUCUAAAUACACAAGCUGUGAUUUAUGUCAUAGAGUGUUCUGCCUAUGUUUUCCUUUAAGAGUUUGAUGGUGUCUGGCCUUACUUUUAGGUCCUUAAUCCAUUUUGAGUUUAU